UCAAACUUACUCCAGUUAGAGAGCUUAGAUCUCUCCUAUAACAACUUAGGUGGAAGGAUCCCCACUGGUUUGAGCGAGUUAAAUGCUUUAGCAGUCUUCAGUGUGGCUCAUAACAAUCUAACAGGUAUGAUACCAGAGAAAGGUCAGUUUGGAACCUUUGAUGAAGGUAGCUAUCAGGGAAAUCCUUAUCUUUGUGGUCGUCCAUUACCUGUUGAUUGCACUAGCACUGGACCAAAACCAGUCCUGCCAUCUGCUGAUGAUGAAAGUGAGGAGCAUGGUUUCAUGGACAUGGAGUUCUUCUACAUAAGCUUCGUCAUAGUUCACUGGAAGCAUCCCUCAAUGGAUUGGCAAUCUAUCAAGCAUGAGCAUUAUUCUUCUCAGAGAUAACCAUUUUGAAGGUAGAAUCCCUCACCAAUUUUGUGAGAUGAAAAAACUAAGCAUGAUAGACCUUUCUUUUAAUAGUCUUUCGGGUCAAAUUCCGUUUUGCUUCAGUAACUUAACGCUAGAGGUAACCAAGAAGAAGUCUGUAUUGGUUGUGGAAUUUGACAGCUCUUCAAUUUCCUCAUUCAUUUCUUAUAUGGAUAAGGUUGAGUUAGAAAGGGACUAUCACGUGUCUUUCCAAAAAACUGAAGAUUUCAAAUUAACUGAUGUGCCAAUUACAGUGACAUUCGUGACAAAGGGAAAUUCUUAUUCGUACAAAGGUAGCAUCCUCAGUUAUAUGUCAGGAAUUGAUCUCUCUUCUAAUAAAUUACACGGUGAAAUUCCGGAUGGCCUUGGAAAGUUAAGUGAGAUCCAUGCACUCAACUUUUCCCACAACAAUCUUACUGGAACAAUUCCAGCAACUUUCUCAAACUUACUCCAGUUAGAGAGCUUAGAUCUCUCCUAUAACAACUUAGGUGGAAGGAUCCCCACUGGUUUGAGCGAGUUAAAUGCUUUAGCAGUCUUCAGUGUAGCUCAUAACAAUCUAACAGGUAUGAUACCAGAGAAAGGUCAGUUUGGAACCUUUGAUGAAGGUAGCUAUCAGGGAAAUCCUUAUCUUUGUGGUCGUCCAUUACAUGUUGAUUGCACUAGCACUGGACCAAAACCAGUCCUGCCAUCUGCUGAUGAUGAAAGUGAGGAGCAUGGUUUCAUGGACAUGGAGUUCUUCUACAUAAGCUUCGUCAUAUCUUAUAUAUCUGUAGUGCUUUGCAUUCCUACAG
rnacentral:lncRNA from 1 species